UUUCUGAAGUUAUUAUACGUAGGUUUUGUAAAUCUAAGUAAACUGGAAC
rnacentral:tRNA from 1 species